GCAGACUCACUCUGCACCAGCUGCAGUUCCAGGCGGGUGCUUUUUUCGUCUGCCACAGAACCUUCCAGGCUGCUGUGGCCACCUGGACCUGUCCAGGGUGAUGCAGCUGCCUGGGGACACGGUG